rnacentral:rRNA from 1 species
ACGCUGGCGGCAGGCCUAACACAUGCAAGUCGAGCGGUAGAGAGAAGCUUGCUUCUCUUGAGAGCGGCGGACGGGUGAGUAAUGCCUAGGAAUCUGCCUGGUAGUGGGGGAUAACGUUCGGAAACGGACGCUAAUACCGCAUACGUCCUACGGGAGAAAGCAGGGGACCUUCGGGCCUUGCGCUAUCAGAUGAGCCUAGGUCGGAUUAGCUAGUUGGUGAGGUAAUGGCUCACCAAGGCGACGAUCCGUAACUGGUCUGAGAGGAUGAUCAGUCACACUGGAACUGAGACACGGUCCAGACUCCUACGGGAGGCAGCAGUGGGGAAUAUUGGACAAUGGGCGAAAGCCUGAUCCAGCCAUGCCGCGUGUGUGAAGAAGGUCUUCGGAUUGUAAAGCACUUUAAGUUGGGAGGAAGGGCAGUAAAUUAAUACUUUGCUGUUUUGACGUUACCGACAGAAUAAGCACCGGCUAACUCUGUGCCAGCAGCCGCGGUAAUACAGAGGGUGCAAGCGUUAAUCGGAAUUACUGGGCGUAAAGCGCGCGUAGGUGGUUUGUUAAGUUGGAUGUGAAAUCCCCGGGCUCAACCUGGGAACUGCAUUCAAAACUGACUGACUAGAGUAUGGUAGAGGGUGGUGGAAUUUCCUGUGUAGCGGUGAAAUGCGUAGAUAUAGGAAGGAACACCAGUGGCGAAGGCGACCACCUGGACUAAUACUGACACUGAGGUGCGAAAGCGUGGGGAGCAAACAGGAUUAGAUACCCUGGUAGUCCACGCCGUAAACAAUGUCAACUAGCCGUUGGAAGCCUUGAGCUUUUAGUGGCGCAGCUAACGCAUUAAGUUGACCGCCUGGGGAGUACGGCCGCAAGGUUAAAACUCAAAUGAAUUGACGGGGGCCCGCACAAGCGGUGGAGC